GGCUUUCAAGAUCGGCCAUUCUUUCUCCUCCGGUUCUAGAUCUAUUAACCUAUUGAUUAGAUCUAUCGCUUCUAGAAGCUUGCGGGAUUUGAUCCUUACCUCCAUUAGCGAGCGGAGGGCGGAAACGUCGUCGGGGUGGGAGGAUAGGUGGUUUUCGAGCGAUGUCUCUUCUUCUUCCAGCGAAACGGUGACGUUUUGAUGGUUUAAGGAUUCUACUGAGGGAGUCAGGGGAGAUGCGAUCGCUGGAGGGGGUUUGAGGUGGAGAUUCGCGAGGAAGAGGGCGGAGGCGGCGGUGAAGGUGACGCAUGUGGAUUUGAGGAGACGGGAAGGUAGUGAUGAUUUCGAUGACGAAGAAGCUCUGAUGGAAGCGCGUUUGAAGGAUUUGAAGGAAAGUGACGAAGGUUUUUGGGGAAAUGAUGAAGGGGAUUGAGUGAGGGAGAGGUGGAUUGGGUGUUGAUUGAGGUGUAGCUUCCCUAGAGACUCCAUGGUUGGUUGGUUGAGGAAUGUGCAGAGAGAGAGAUAAACCCUAGAAACCCUAGAGCGAGAUCGAGGAAGAAGAUCAAAAAGGCUUGAGAGUUUCGAAUGUACUUGCGAGAUACGACGGCGUUUCGAAGAGAAAGAUGUCACAAAUUUGGGCCCUUAGUGGGCCGGAGCUAGUUUGUGGGCUUAAAGCUAGGACAAGUAAGUCUGCUCAUAAUCUUAGAACCGGAUACUGGUAGGUCAUAACCGGUCUGCUUUUCAAUUAACUCGAAUGUUUGAUGAGGGGAAUUGAGCACCAAUCGGGACAAAACCGCUUGAUUUGGUUCUAAAUUGAAGUGAAAAUCAAGUAAAUUAAUUCUCAAUAAAUUAAGAUUUAACAUGUAAUAGCAUAAGCUGUAUCUAUUACUUUUACUUCUUAUUCUGUAAAAUAUUAUUUUGGAAAAUAAGAUCCAUAUAUAAGAUGGAUUACUCUACAAUUCAGUUUAAAACUAUUAAUCCAGCUUGAUCUUGUUUUUUUUUCAAAAUAUUAGUAUUUUUUUUUUGCCUUUUUGGCACACCUUUUUUCCAAAAAAGAAUAAAAUCAGAAAUUACAUUAUUUUUUCCCCAAAAGAUACUGCUUUUUUUCUUCCUUUCGUGUUAAACUUCAACUUGUGGCGUGGAGGAUUAGAACAAGUACUUUAUUAUUAUUUUUCUUUUUGAAAAUGGAUUACUUGACACACAGUGAUCCUAAAGAUGAUAUAAAAAUAAAUAAAAAAUCUGGUGUUAAUAAUAUGUAAUAUAGGAAACAUACAUCUAUUGAAAUCAAAUUUGUGUAAGCUAUAUUUGCAUAAUAAUGGGAUCAUUAGCCGAGCAUAUUAGUUUACUUUUGAAAUUAAGGUGAUUAUUAGUGGUACUGGUCAAGUAAUUCAAACUUUGGGAACCAGCCGGGCCCAUAUUCAUUUUCUCUGUGUAUGCAGCAUAUAACACACUCCGCUCAGAGUUUCCCAAACGGUUACUUUUCAAAUUUCAAACCAGAAAAAAAAAAAAAAAAAGUUCCCAUCGUUGCGAAUCUCAAAGAAGAACCCUAAACCUUGUUCGUGCUCGAUUCGAAAUUCGAACUCUCCCCUUCCGGGCUUGUGUUUCUGUAAGUGAAUCUGAAUCCACCUUUUUGAUUUUCGAUUUGAGUUCAAUAAUGAUUUUUCCAUUUUUUGAUUUUUUUUUCUCAGAACAUCCAACACCAAGUAGUUAUGUCUUUCACUCCCGACGUUACAAGAAAAAGCGGAGUGGGAGUGAUCCCAUCUCCAGCUCCGUUCCUCACUCCUCGUCCCGAGAGAAGACGGCCUGAUUCUUCUUGCUUCUCCUCCCGCCUCGAAAGAGAGAAAGAAGUCAACGUUCAGGUCCUUCUUCGUUGCAGACCGUUAAGCGAAGAGGAGCAGAAAUCGAACGUCCCUAGAGUCAUUUCCUGUAACGAGCUCAGGAAAGAAGUCAGCGUUGCUAAUAAGCAAGUGGACCGUCUCUUCACUUUCGACAAGGUCCGUUUCUUUUUUUGUUCUUUGGUUAUGAUUUGUAGUCCAUACAUAUAAAUGUUUUGGACUAUUUAAUGUUACAUAUCAUUGUUCUAAAAAUAGGUAUAGGCAGCGUCUAGUCGAUUUAUUUACUAAUUGAAUUUUCAAAAAAAUUGGACCGUCUAGGGAUUUCUUAAACAUGCUCUGUUCUUUGUUGGUAUUGAUGGUGUUUUUUUUUUAUAGGUUUUUGGGCCUAAAGCACAACAAAGAUCUAUAUAUGACCAAGCCAUUGCACCUAUUGUUCAUGAAGUGUUGGAAGGUUUUAGCUGCACUGUGUUUGCCUAUGGACAGACAGGAACCGGGAAGACUUAUACUAUGGAAGGCGGCAUGCGUAAAAAGGUAUCUCAUUUUGUUUUUCAUGUUUCUGUUUGUUGUUGAAGGCUUAAAACCAGUAAUCUAGUUUAGAGACUAAUCAAAUAAUAAUGAAAAAAGAUUAGGGCCAAAGAGACUUUGUACACUUCAGUAAACGGAAUCUUUGGUCCUAAUCUCUUUCGUUAUUGUUUGAUCAGUCUCUAAACUAGAUUACCGGUUUUAAGGCUUCAACAUUUGUGACUUGAUUCUGUUAUGAUCUGUGGCUUAGAAGAUUGUGAAUAUGGAUGUGGCAAGUCUCAAACUGUUAUUGAAGUCAUUAGGAGAGUAACAGAAUUGUAAAGAUGAGAGUACUACUAUAAUUAGAAGAGAGGAGUGUACUUAGAGUAUAUGCAUCUUGUGAGACUUGUGUGGUGGAAAAGUCUUUGUCAAACCUUAGGUUCUUGAGUAUAAUUGGUGUUCUUGAUCAAUGUAUCCGUGUGUUCUUAUCAGAUUCAAGUUGUUGUUUUUUUGUCUAGGGAGGGGAUUUACCUGUGGAGGCUGGGGUGAUUCCUAGAGCUGUUAGGCAUAUAUUCGAAACUCUUGAGGCUCAAAAGGCUGACUACAGUAUGAAAGUCACGUUCUUGGAGCUGUACAACGAAGAAGUCACAGACUUGUUAGCUCAAGAAGACUCUUCAUCAAGAUCAUCUUCUGACGAUAAGCAGAAGUCCCUUCUUAAGAAGCGUGUAUAUAAUCCCCUGACACAGAUACGGCCUAAAAUCCCUCGGCUCCUCCUUCACCAGCUCCUGAUACAGCUUCAGCGCCUCCUCAUGCUUCCCUUCGAGCACCCGAAUCUGCGCCACAAGAAGCUUAAAGUCCCUAAGGUCCUUCACAUUCCUCUCCUUCUUGCACCUCACCAUGGCCUCGCGAAUCCUCCCCUCCACGGCCUUUAAAUCAUCUCCCGAAUCGGAGUAGGCCAUGGCGAGGCCGUGGUAGGCCUCGACGCGGAGAGGAUCCUUGGAUAUGAUCUCCUCGAAGGCGUUCUUGGCGGAUUCUGAGUCUCCGCUGUGGGAUAAGAUGUUGGCUUUCAAGAUCGGCCAUUCUUUCUCCUCCGGUUCUAGAUCUAUUAACCUAUUGAUUAGAUCUAUCGCUUCUAGAAGCUUGCGGGAUUUGAUCCUUACCUCCAUUAGCGAGCGGAGGGCGGAAACGUCGUCGGGGUGGGAGGAUAGGUGGUUUUCGAGCGAUGUCUCUUCUUCUUCCAGCGAAACGGUGACGUUUUGAUGGUUUAAGGAUUCUACUGAGGGAGUCAGGGGAGAUGCGAUCGCUGGAGGGGGUUUGAGGUGGAGAUUCGCGAGGAAGAGGGCGGAGGCGGCGGUGAAGGUGACGCAUGUGGAUUUGAGGAGACGGGAAGGUAGUGAUGAUUUCGAUGACGAAGAAGCUCUGAUGGAAGCGCGUUUGAAGGAUUUGAAGGAAAGUGACGAAGGUUUUUGGGGAAAUGAUGAAGGGGAUUGAGUGAGGGAGAGGUGGAUUGGGUGUUGAUUGAGGUGUAGCUUCCCUAGAGACUCCAUGGUUGGUUGGUUGAGGAAUGUGCAGAGAGAGAGAUAAACCCUAGAAACCCUAGAGCGAGAUCGAGGAAGAAGAUCAAAAAGGCUUGAGAGUU
rnacentral:lncRNA from 1 species